GUGUCAGCCGCCGCGGUAAUACAGAGGGUUCGAGCGUUAAUCGGAAUCACUGGGCUUAAAGCGUGCGUAGGCGGCCCUGCAAGUAUCUUGUGAAAGCCCACGGCUCAACCGUGGAACUGCUUGGUAGACUGCAGGGCUUGAGCCCGACAGAGGUCGUCGGAACUCUAGGUGGAGCGGUGAAAUGCGCAGAUAUCUAGGGGAACGCCAAAGGUGAAGACAGGCGACUGGGUCGGAGCUGACGCUCAGGCACGAAAGCGUGGGUAGCGAACGGGAUUAGAUACCCCGGUAGUCCACGCCCUAAACGAUGUGCACUAGAUCGAGGAGGUUUUGACGCCAUCUCGGUCGUAGCGAAAGCGUUAAGUGCACCGCCUGGGGAGUACGGUCGCAAGGCUAAAACUCAAAUGAAUUGACGGGG
rnacentral:rRNA from 1 species